AGCAGCCGCGGUAAUUCCAGCUCCAAUAGCAUAUAUUAAAGUUGUUGCAGUUAAAAAGCUCGUAGUUGAAUUUCGGGAUUAGUGCGCUGGUCAUGCCUUUGGUAUGUACUGGUGUUACUGGUUCCUACCUUCUGAAGAACCGUCAUGUCAUUCAUUUGGUGUGGCGGGGAAUCAGGACUGUUACUUUGAAAAAAUUAGAGUGUUUAAAGCAGGCUCGCGCUUGAAUACAUUAGCAUGGAAUAAUGAAAUAGGACGUUUGACCCUAUUUUGUUGGUUUCUAGGAUCGACGUAAUGAUUAAUAGGGAUAGUUGGGGGCAUUAGUAUUCAAUUGUCAGAGGUGAAAUUCUUGGAUUUAUUGAAGACUAACUACUGCGAAAGCAUUUGCCAAGGAUGUUUUCAUUAAUCAAGAACGAAAGUUAGGGGAUCGAAGACGAUCAGAUACCGUCGUAGUCUUAACCAUAAACUAUGCCGACUAGGGAUCGGAUGAUGUUAUUUUUAAUGGCUCAUUCGGCGCCUUACG
rnacentral:rRNA from 1 species